rfam:Clostridiales bacterium 42_27 Ley3_66761_scaffold_8905, whole genome shotgun sequence.
AUAAUGAUACGACCUUACAGCCACAGUCCGAGCGUUCAAAGCGUCGCAGGCGAUGGGUAGGGCUGCACGAGAACCGUGCGGGGGUGAAACUCCCUUGG